rnacentral:rRNA from 1 species
AUUGAACGCUGGCGGCAGGCUUAACACAUGCAAGUCGAACGGCAGCGGGGGAGAAGCUUGCUUUUCCUGCCGGCGAGUGGCGAACGGGUGAGUAAUACAUCGGAACGUGCCCUGUAGUGGGGGAUAACUAGUCGAAAGAUUAGCUAAUACCGCAUACGACCUGAGGGUGAAAGUGGGGGACCGCAAGGCCUCAUGCUAUAGGAGCGGCCGAUGUCUGAUUAGCUAGUUGGUGGGGUAAAGGCCUACCAAGGCGACGAUCAGUAGCUGGUCUGAGAGGACGAUCAGCCACACUGGGACUGAGACACGGCCCAGACUCCUACGGGAGGCAGCAGUGGGGAAUUUUGGACAAUGGGCGAAAGCCUGAUCCAGCAAUGCCGCGUGUGUGAAGAAGGCCUUCGGGUUGUAAAGCACUUUUGUCCGGAAAGAAAUGGCUCUGGUUAAUACCUGGGGUCGAUGACGGUACCGGAAGAAUAAGGACCGGCUAACUACGUGCCAGCAGCCGCGGUAA